UGGGCUGUUUUUACCAGCUGGAAUCUGUCUAAAAUCAGAAACAUGUCUGUGUUUGAAAGAGCUUUUCUUGGGUUAUAUCAACAAAGGUAACAAGUAAAUGGAGAAGUCGUUUAAAUGUAGCUUCAGGGACAGAUGAUGUGUGAAUGUCAAUGUGAUGAGCUGAUCGUUUGGUUAAAUAAUCCGUACCUAGUGAUGAGCCCAUCGCCGUUCUGUCAGGUACUUUGAUGUCUUUAGGCAUAAGUGGUUCAGUCGGCUGCUUCAUUGAAUAGAUUUCAGAAAAUCCCUGUAGUCUCAAUUUAAACAACAGGGACACACAGUUGAUUUCUAGCUGGUGAAUGUAGUCUGAAGGCUGUGUCCCAAAUUAUUUAGCGGUUUACUAAUCCCUGCUAGAAGGUGCCGGGCAACUUUACUGGCAACCCUGACAAAGAUGCGGAAAGCCUUUAAAAGUUCAUUUUCUCUUGCAGUAGCAUAAUUUUGAAAGCCUUUGAGAACAUUUAUUUGGUUUAGGGAGGCAUUAUGUUAUGAAAAAAUAUUCUGUUAAUCGUUUGUGUCUGGAUCACUUCUGUGUUGAUUUGGCCGCUUGUUUUGAAUUAUUCUCUGUUUAAAGAUCCUAGUUGCCCCGUUUACACUUUCCUGGUAAAGCUUUUCUACAUAUUGCACAUUUCCUUCAUGGCAAACCUUCCUGGAGUUUAUUGUUGGUGAAAAGCCCAAUGUGCUGGCAGGACAAAAAGGAGUCUCCGACUAACCUGCUUCUCAGCACCUAAAGAAGCGGGCCUCUGUUUCAUGCUUUAAUGCAGAGUUCUAAAAACGCUGACCUGCUUUAAAAAAAA